UACGUAGGGUGCAAGCGUUGUCCGGAAUCAUUGGGCGUAAAGCGCGUGUAGGCGGCUUGGUAAGUCGGGUGUGAAAUCCCGGGGCCCAACCCCGGAACUGCAUUCGAAACUGCCUCGCUAGAGUCCCGGAGAGGAAGGCGGAAUUCCCGGUGUAGAGGUGAAAUUCGUAGAUAUCGGGAGGAACACCAGCGGCGAAGGCGGCCUUCUGGACGGUGACUGACGCUGAGACGCGAAAGCGUGGGGAGCAAACAGGG
rnacentral:rRNA from 1 species